rnacentral:tRNA from 1 species
GGCCUUGUAGUGAAGUUCACGAUGAAUUGCAAAUUCAUUAAUGCACAUUAGAUAUGUGUCAGGGUCU